CAUCAUGCAGCCGGCACAGGAGAGCAGAGACAGCACGCUCACACCACCCUGUCCUCCCCGCCCAGAGGGACAGUCACCCUGAGGCCAUGGAGAACCCCCAGUGUCUUCUGGAGCACCCGGUGAGAGCUUGCCUCAAAAUCAGUCAGUGAGAGUGGCGACCACCCAGUGGAUUCAGACAUCAAAGACCUGGGAGCCAGCUGGCUGGAGCUGGGCUGGGCUGGGACUGUUCCUCAGCCCUCAGGUAGAGCGGUAGAGCGCUUGCCGACCACGCAUGAAGCACCCCUUCAGUUCCCAGCUCCUCAAUUCCGGAGAAAGUGAAGGAUAGAGGCAACAAGAUAGGACAUUUAGAAGAUCCGCCAUGAUUCUGUAAGGGCCAGCACAUUCCCCCUGGCUACAGGGACGGCUCAGCAGGUAACACUCAGAGCGCUGGAAAGGACCUGUUGUCUGGGAUCCAAUGCCUUCUGCUGACUUCUGGGAAUGAGCGCAGGAAUGUGGCAAACAUACAUCCACGCAGUCAAAACAAGUAAAAUAAACAAAUUGUCGUUCGUG
rnacentral:lncRNA from 1 species